rnacentral:rRNA from 1 species
CCUACGGGAGGCAGCAGUGGGGAAUUUUGGACAAUGGGCGAAAGCCUGAUCCAGCCAUGCCGCGUGAGUGAAGAAGGCCUUCGGGUUGUAAAGCUCUUUCGGCCGGGACGAAAUCGCACGAGUGAAUAUCGCGUGUGGAUGACGGUACCGGCAGAAGAAGGACCGGCUAACUACGUGCCAGCAGCCGCGGUAAUACGUAGGGUCCGAGCGUUAAUCGGAAUUACUGGGCGUAAAGCGUGCGCAGGUGGUUUUGUAAGCCAGAUGUGAAAGCCCCGGGCUUAACCUGGGAACUGCAUUUGGGACUGCAAGGCUAGAGUACGGCAGAGGGGGGUAGAAUUCCUGGUGUAGCAGUGAAAUGCGUAGAUAUCAGGAGGAAUACCGAUGGCGAAGGCAGCCCCCUGGGUCGAUACUGACGCUCAUGCACGAAAGCGUGGGGAGCAAACAGGAUUAGAUACCCUGGUAGUCCACGCCCUAAACGAUGUCAACUAGUUGUUGGGGGCCUUACCGCCCUUAGUAACGCAGCUACGCGUGAGUAGACCGCCGUGGGAGGUACGGUCGCAGAUAAACUACGAAGAAGUAGACGCGNGAGACGUGCCGACGACGACGACGAGGGAGGAGG